rnacentral:misc_RNA from 1 species
AACGCAUAUUGCGCUCGAGACUUCGGUCGAGAGCAUGCCUGUCUCAGCGUCGGCUCACCCCCUCGCCCCCUCCUCCCCUUUCCCCUCGCGGAAAGAGGAAGGAGGUUUCAAAAGGCGGACGUGGCCGUCUCAGCCUUCUGUAAAAGGAAAGCUGGGUCGGCUGAAGCACAGGGCUUGCGGCCGGACCCUCAAUCAAACCGGGGGCGCCAGCAUGGUAGGUGGCUCUUCGCAGCUGCAUGCCGCUGUCGCUUUCCACACACCGAGACCGAGACCGCGCGGCCAAGCAGGAAAACGCGUUGCUUCCGUGGCUCUUCGGACACGGGGACAACCAGUGUUCUUCGACCUGAGAUCAGACAAGACCACCCGCUGAACUUAA